GGGGAUAUAGCUCAGUUGGUAGAGUGAUUGCUUAGCACGCACAAGGCCCUGGGUUCAAUCCCCAGCACCAUCA
rnacentral:tRNA from 1 species